GCGGGUCCCCGCGCCGCCUGCGCUAUAAAUAGCUCUUUUUGGCAAGUUCUUCCUUUGCCUAAAUUAGUCAUGGGGGAGGUGGAAAUGUCACCCCUUUUUACGGUCCCUUUGGGAGUCCUGGGGAAGGCACAGAGGUGGCGAGGAUAUAAUUAAGUGAUAUAACUGAGGGUAUAACCAUCUCCUUGUCUUCCUCUUUGUUUUCCCAGCUCCUGUUUGAUUAUUUGAAAUGCAGGAAUGCCGUGAGAAGGAUGUUUUUGAUUUCUCUAAUCUUAGGAAAAGCGAGGGAACUAAACUUUAUCUUUUACUCCUUUUAGUAAAGCGGUUCAGAGAAAGGAACGUGCAGAGGCUGAGGAGUGAAUCCACUUGGACCACCAUCUUUUGAACAUUUAGGAGGAGUAUUUUCAACUUCAGGCUUAUUUCUCAUAUACAGACAAAAAAAUCAAACAAUGAGAGUUCCCUUUGUAGUUCAUUAAUGCAAAGUGGCACUUUUUAAGAGCUGUUUUGUGCUCAUGGGCCAUGAAGUCAAGGCCUGGUGCUCUGAUAAAAGGAGCAGAUCUUGAAUAAACAUGGACUGCUAACUAGAAGAUUAUUGAGUGUCAGAGGGGUAAGAUUCUGGAAGUCUUGCAGUGAAGAUACUGAAGGUGAGAAAGUCAGUUUUAAAGCAGAGCCUGGUAAAUAUAUGAAUGGGAUUAUAGUAUUUUUCAGUCCAUUAUGCUGUUUUAAUUCUAUGCGUUUAACAAACAGACCUCAGCCGGUGUUUCCGCUGUAAUUAUUUACAGUCAACAUGAACACACUAUGUGAUUGUUCCUGGAGACGUCACUUGCAAAUUAUACUUUCAUGAUCAUUUCCAAGGUAGCGAUGUGAAAUGGUCACUCCAGAGAACUCUGGAGCUCCAAUCCUUGCCCAUGGAUGAGCUGAAUUUGCAGCAGCUGCCCAUUGCUUUAAGCAGAGCAUUUAAAGUGGGGCGUCCCCACCUCGGCCUCUCAGCUGCUGGAAAUCGUCAUUGUGCACUGGAGCGGAGCGAUGCUAAUUGACACCAGCUGAAAAAUUGACCUAAAAUUAGCUCUCUGCUCAAAUUUUUUGUGCCCUUCGCUGUGUUUUGCUUCUGUUCAUGAGCUCAGAAGGUGUCUUGGUUAAGAAAGUAAAUGGUGUGUUACUGUAGUGGUUAUUUUAUCACAUUUAACCUUAGGGGAAUACUGGGAGGCUUGGAAGUUGUAUAAAGGUGAGGAGGGGACCGUGGUCUCAGCUGCCUCUGGUCCAGUCCUCUUCAUGCUGCAGUUAUGAUAACCCAAGUAUUUUUGGAAUGUACCAACCUUGAGGUGAGUGACAAUUCUUCUCCCCCGUUGGAUUUACUAAUACUGAAUGUGCUUUAGAAAUGCAGGUUGGGUUUUUGCAUUGAAAAAAUGAGUGUUUGGUCUAUGAUGCAUCAAAAGGAACAACACAUUUCUAGUACAGACAGCAAACACAAAAGCAGCUCCAAAUAUUUAAGUAUUUGGAUGAGUUGUUUGGGAUCAGUGAAUUCCAGCGCAGUGAAGCCCUGCUGUAUCUAUAAAGAACGUUAAAACUCUGUUUCUUUUGAAAACCAGAGGAAUGAAGGGCAGAAGGCACAUUUUUUAGGGUGUGUGUUGUCUUUUUAAGCUCCCAGUUGCAAAUCUUGUUCAAGCUCAGUUUUCAACCCUUUUCUUCACGGUCCCUCAGUUUCCCUGUGUUUGGCUUCUCCCGAGUUUGUUUUAAAGCUCCUUGUCGUGGUUUUUUCCAUCGCCCGUAUUCACACUCACGCACCAAACAUCCCGUGAAAUCGCAUUCACCCGCAUAGCUGCAAUUCUGGGAUUCCUCAGCCUCGCUGCUCCCUGGCUGCUGCGCUGCCUGUAUUUGGAGAUCUCAGCUGUUUGCUCCCCCGAGAACAAAAAACCCCUCCUACAAAAGAACUGCCCGAAUGAACGGCGACGGUUACACUUACCAGCAAAAACAGGCUUCACCCAACCCGUAAAAAUAUAUCUAUGCAAAUGCCAAGUGUUCAUAAAGACUUUUUUUAGCAAGUUAUGUUAGCUGCGUCUUGCAGUGAGUUAUGCGUUGGUCAGCUGAAACUUCCUUUUUCUGGGGCUUGUUUAUCCUGCAGAUACGUUAUCUGCUUGACACUUCGCUAAUACAAAUACCGUUCAACAGCGUGCUUCCAUCAAAGAUAGAAAAUGUUCUCGCUCUUUACGUUAUUUUUAGAAUAUUAACGGUUCUGAAAAGUUUAGUAUUAUUCUUAUUUGUUAAAACUAAGAUAAAUUUAGCAGAGCCAGUUUAAUAUUCACGGAGCCAUCUUCAUAUCAUUUUCUUGGGGUAGUUUAGUUUCUGUGUUCACUGACCUUUCUGUUGCAGAAUAUGACUCACAGAAUCACAGAAAGUUAGGGAUUGGAAGGGCCCUGGAAAGCUCAUGCAGUGCAAUCCCCCCAUGGAGCAGGAACACCCAGAUGAGGUUACACAGGAAGGUGUCCAGGCGGGUUGGAAUGUCUGCACAGAAGGAGACUCCACAACCCCCUGGGCAGCCUGGGCCAGGCUCUGCCACCCUCACCCCAAACAAGUUUCUUCUCAAAUUUAAGUGGAACCUCCUGUGUUCCAGUUUGUACCCAUUACCCCUUGUCCUGUCACUGGUUGUCACCAGAAGAGCCUGGCUCCAUCCUCCUGACACUCCCCCUUUCCAUGUUGAUCCCCAGGAAUGAGUCCCCCCUCAGUGUCCUCUUGUCCAGCUCCAGAGCCCCAGCUCCCUCGGCCUUUCCUCACACGGGAGAUGCUCCACUCCCUGCAGCAUCUUGGUGGCUGCGCUGGACUCUCUCAGCAGUUCCCUGUCCUGCUGGAACUGAGGGGCCACAGCUGGACACAAUAUUCCAGGUGUGGUCUCCCCAGGGCAGAGCAGAGGGGCAGGAGAACCUCUCUGACCUACUGACCACCCCCUUCUAACCCACCCCAGGUACCAUUGGCUUCCUGGCCACAAGGGCCCAGUGCUGGCUCAUGGUCACCCUGCUGUCCCCAGGACCCCCAGGUCCCUUUCCCCUACGCUGCUCUCUAAUAGAUCAUUCCCAACUUACACUGGAACCUGGGGUUGUUCUGCCCACAUUCAAGACUCUACACUUGCCCUUGUUCUAUUUCAUUACAUUUUCCCUGCCCAGCUCUCCAGCCUGUCCAGAUCUCUGAUGGCAGCACAGCUUCCAGUGUCACCCACUCCUCCCAGCUCGGUGUCACCAGCAAACUUGUGACAGUCACUCUAUUCCCUCGUCCAAAUCAUUGAUGAAUAUAUUGAAUAAUACAGGCCCCAGCACUGACACCUGACAUUAUGCUAUUGAUCUUAAUCGCAGGUGCCACCAUCUCGGUUAAAAGAUAAGUAAAAUUUAAAUAAAUACAUUUACAGAAAGUAACAAAAAGAGAGGUGUAUGUUUUUGCUUAAGGAUUAGUCUCAUUUUAAUUGAAUAUCCACAGAUUCUUAUGGAAUAAUACAAAGCAAAAAUAAUAAUACAUACUGAACAGCAAUCUAUGUCUUCUAGCAUAAACCACUUAAUUACAAACACUUUAGAAAAAUGACGGUUCACACAUUUUUACAUGUAGAUUUGGGUUAAAAGGGCCCACUACAUAGGAAAAAAAACUGAGAUAGAUUGUUAUAUUGUCAUGGUGACUUUUAAAAAUUCACUUCACCAGUAGCAUGCUGUAUUUUGGACUGCCAAUAAAUAUGGAAAUACAAAAGAGAAAACGUGUGCUUUUGUAUUUAUAGCAAUUUUGCUUGUA